AACUCCAGGGGCAGCUACGAGAGAACACAAAGCACAGGACCUUAGCUCGGAACCCUACCUCACCGCCUUGUUACCGCCGUAUUGGUGGUUACAAUGUCGACUCCAGCUAGAAAGAGGCUGAUGAGGGAUUUCAAGAGGUUGCAGCAGGACCCUCCUGCUGGUAUUAGUGGUGCACCUCAAGACAACAACAUUAUGCUUUGGAAUGCCGUGAUAUUUGGUCCUGAUGACACUCCUUGGGAUGGUGGUACGUUCAAGUUGACUCUUCAAUUCUCUGAGGAUUACCCCAACAAGCCACCAACAGUGCGGUUUGUUUCUCGCAUGUUUCAUCCUAAUAUUUAUGCAGAUGGAAGUAUAUGUUUGGAUAUUCUUCAGAAUCAAUGGAGUCCAAUUUAUGAUGUUGCGGCAAUACUUACAUCCAUUCAGUCAUUGCUGUGUGAUCCAAACCCCAACUCACCUGCAAACUCGGAAGCAGCUCGGAUGUUCAGUGAGAAUAAAAGGGAGUACAAUCGCAGAGUGAGAGAAAUUGUUGAGCAGAGCUGGACUGCUGACUGAUUCUAGGGACGAAAGAUGUCCUUGCAGACCUCAGAUGAAGAGCACCAUGGCUCAGCUAUGUUAUAUUUACGGAUUGAAACCUCCUCUUUGAAAUUUUAUUUGAAUGGAACUCUCAUUUUGUUUGAUCCUAGUAUUCUGGUUAGGUUCUAUUGCCUAAUUGUCAUUUGCUGCAUUGCAUUGACAAGCUUCUGUAAUAUAUGGAUUGCGUUUUGGUUUAGAAAUGCAAGGAACUUCCCAUACGCAUGGGAAUUGUUUUUCAUGUACUUAUUUUGCUAUAAAAUUUUGAGUAGUUCUAAG
rnacentral:misc_RNA from 1 species